UUAAACUCAAAGGAAUUGGCGGGGGCCCGCACAACCGGUGGAGCGUCUGGUUCAAUUCGAUGCUAACCGAAAAACCUUACCCGGGUUUGACAUGGUGGGAAACCCUUGCGAAAGCGAGGGGUGCUGUCCUCUGGACGGAAUCCCACCACAGGUGGUGCAUGGCCGUCGUCAGCUCGUGUCGUGAGAUGUUGGGUUAAGUCCCGCAACGAGCGCAACCCCUGCCCUUAGUUGCUACCCCGAAUGGGGAGCACUCUAAGGGGACUGCCGGCGAUAAGCCGGAGGAAGGUGGGGAUGACGUCAGGUCAGUAUGCCCUUUAUGCCCGGGGCAACACAGGCGCUACAGUGGCCAGGACAAUGGGAUGCAACCCAGCAAUGGGGAGCAAAUCCCCCAAACCUGGUCAUGGUGCAGAUUGAGGGCUGAAACUCGCCCUCAUGAAGCCGGAAUCGGUAGUAAUGGCGGAUCAGCUAAGCCGCCGUGAAUACGUUCUCGGGCCUUGCACACACCGCCCGUCACGCCACGGAAGUCAGUCUUCCCGGAAGCUCCCGGGCU
rnacentral:rRNA from 1 species